rnacentral:rRNA from 1 species
GUGACUGAGUGGCGGACGGGUGAGUAACGCGUGGUAACUGCCUCAUACGAGGGGGAUAACAGUUAGAAAUGACUGCUAAUACCGCAUAAGCGCACAGUAUCGCAUGAUACAGUGUGAAAAACUCCGGUGGUAUGAGAUGGACCCGCGUCUGAUUAGCUAGUUGGUGAGGUAAUGGGCUCACCAAGGCGACGAUCAGUAGCCGGCCUGAGAGGGUGAUCGGCCACAUUGGGACUGAGACACGGCCCAAACUCCUACGGGAGGCAGCAGUGGGGAAUAUUGCACAAUGGGGGAAACCCUGAUGCAGCGACGCCGCGUGAGUGAAGAAGUAUUUCGGUAUGUAAAGCUCUAUCAGCAGGGAAGAAAAUGACGGUACCUGACUAAGAAGCCCCGGCUAACUACGUG